GAUGAACGCUGGCGGCGUGCCUAAUACAUGCAAGUCGAGCGAACAGACGAGGAGCUUGCUCCUCUGACGUUAGCGGCGGACGGGUGAGUAACACGUGGAUAACCUACCUAUAAGACUGGGAUAACUUCGGGAAACCGGAGCUAAUACCGGAUAAUAUAUUGAACCGCAUGGUUCAAUAGUGAAAGACGGUUUUGCUGUCACUUAUAGAUGGAUCCGCGCCGCAUUAGCUAGUUGGUAAGGUAACGGCUUACCAAGGCAACGAUGCGUAGCCGACCUGAGAGGGUGAUCGGCCACACUGGAACUGAGACACGGUCCAGACUCCUACGGAAGGCAGCAGUAGGGAAUCUUCCGCAAUGGGCGAAAGCCUGACGGAGCAACGCCGCGUGAGUGAUGAAGGUCUUCGGAUCGUAAAACUCUGUUAUUAGGGAAGAACAAAUGUGUAAGUAACUAUGCACGUCUUGACGGUACCUAAUCAGAAAGCCACGGCUAACUACGU
rnacentral:rRNA from 1 species